AUAAGACUUAUAGAGAUUAACCUAUAUCUUUUGAAUGCAACUCAAACACUUUUAUUAAGCUAAAGCCUCU
rnacentral:tRNA from 1 species